GUGGGUGGUUUUCUCGAUACUUGUCGCCUUUAGACGCCGAAAACCGACGAGCCGAAGACUGGAGAAGCCUUGGUUUCACGGAAAGUAGAAACCACUAACUAAGGAAAUGAUCAACACGCCCAUGCCCUAGGGUCUCUCUCUGCGACGAUAAAUUGUUUUCCUCUUGCCGUUGUGGACGCCGCCGCGGCCUCCAGGUGCUCGUCGCCUGCGACGGGGCGGCCCUCUGUGGACGGCGGCCCUUAUCGCCGCCGUCGCGGAGCUCUUCUAGAUUCAAAAGGCUGGUGGAUCCAAGGCUCUCUUGCCGAAGAAUGGGUGACCUGCUAUCCCUCCGCCACUAUCGCCGCCUUCGUUGGCCCUGCUAUCCCUCCGCCACUAUCGCCACCUUCGUUGGCUCUUCAAGCAUUGGCGCUCUCAUAAGCGUCCAAUACGCUAGGCCGCCAUUCCAUCCAGCUCCAUUGGUAUCGUCUUUUGGCUUUUCGUCCUGUCGGUUCCAUCCGCCGCCAUCGCCGUCUUCGUUUCUCUUCCGCCCUCGGUGCGUCGAUGGACUCUGCGUUGGAACGUGUCGGCUGGUUCUUCCGGCUUCGGGGCGUGAAUGAGCAUCCGAGACGCCCAUGGUCGUGGCGGUUGGCGGUUCCCCGCUCCGGUGCUAUCGCCGGCGCUAUUUUUGGUGGCUCUUCGGACGCCAUUAAAUCUCAAAACGCCCGAUGGCUGCACCAUGGCCUUGUUUAUCCUCUUUUAAAUCUUCGGUUGCCUUGGUGGUCUUCCAAGAUCACAUGGCCGCAUCUACCGGCUGCUGUUCCCUCUGCUGCUGUCUUCUCAAAGCUCUACUGGCCGCAACGACCUGAUGAGCUUCCAAGUCCCCAUGGCUGCAUCGACCGUGGGAACGAAAUGGAAGGCUACAUGGAAACCUUUGGAAGCUGUCUAAUAAAAAAGAGCGGCCUAGUGCAUGAGGCUUCCACCGUUGUGGGGUCUACGGAUGCUCAAAUGUGUGCAGCCUUACCCUCAUGUGUGAGAGGCUGUUUUCGUGUUUCGAAUCCGUGACUUCUAGGCCACAAUGGAGCAAUAUAUUGUCCCAAGGCUUACCCUCUGAAAACUGUCCAUUGACAGAUUAAAAAAAGAGAGGAAAUUCAGGGAGAAAAAUCCAAUAUUAAAAGGGAUUAGGGCCGCCACAUGCGGAGAUCUUCUGGCUUCAAGAUGCUGAUGGAUCCAAGACCCUUUGCUGAAGAAUGGGUCCACCGCUAUCCCUCCGUUGUAUCGCUGCCUUCAUUGGUUCUUCCAGCAUUGGCGCUCUGAUGACCAUCCAAUACAGUAGGCCACCAUUCCAUCCACCUCCAUUGCUGUCAUCUUUUGGCUGUUCAUCAUGUCAGUUCCAUCCGCUGCCAUCACCGUCUUCGUUGCUCUGCCACCCUCGGUGCAUUGAUGAGCAUCCGAAGGACUCUAUGUUGGAACGUGUUGGUUGGUUCUUCCGGCUUUGGGUCUUGAAUGAGCAUCUGAGACACCCAUCUUCGUGGCGGUUGGCGGUUCUCCCCUCCGGUGCUAUCGCCGGUGCUGUUUUUGGUGGCUUUUCGGAUGCUAUUGCCUUUUUAAGCCUCGUAGCCUGAUAAAUCUUAAAACACCCUAUGGCUGCAUCGCCAUGGCCGUGUUUAUCCUCUUUUAAAUCUUCGCGGCCGAUAAUUUCCAAAAGACCCAUUGGCCACAUCUGCUCAGCACCCUGGUGGUCUUCCAAGAUCGCACGGCCUCAUCUGCUGGCUGCCGUUCCCUCUGCUGCCGUUGCUGUCUUCUCGAAGCUCUAUUGGCCGCAAUGACCUGAUGAGCUUCCAAGACCCCAUGGCUGCAUUGACGGGUUGUUUCCCUCUGCUGCCAUUGCUAUCUUUGUGAAGCUCUUCUGGCCAUGGUACCUUGAUGAGCUUUCGAGAUCCCAUGGCCGUGCUUUAGGUGGUGGCCGUUCCCCAAGCCAAGAUCGCAGACUUGCUCUUCUGGCCCAGUGCACUGAGGAUGAGCGUCCCCAAUCCCAAGCUCUUCCUGCACAGUGCCUUGAUGAUGAGAUUCAAAGGCUGCGUCUUCUGCCUUAUGGCAUAUCUAUCUGGCUGUUUCCUCCGUCGAGCCCAUCUCCAGCCCUAAUGCUAUAAGACAAGCUCAGUCCUCCCGAGCCUCCUCCACCUGGCUCCCUCAUUCUCAAUGAAGGCUCAGUCUUGUUAGGCUCCCUCAUGGAGAGCCUGAGGCCGGGGGGCUCAGAUUGUCUUGUAGGGAAGAGCUCUAUUUGAAGUUUGGAGAAGUGGGAACGAAAUGGAAGGCUACAUGGAAACCGUUGAAAGCUGUCUAAUGAAAAAGAGCGGCCUAGUGCAUGAGGCUUCCACCAUUGUGGGGUCUACGGAUGCUCAAAUGUGUGCAGCCUUACCCUCGUGUGAGAGGCUCUUUCUGUGUUUCGAAUCUGUGACUUCUAGGCCACAAUGGAGCAAUAUAUUGCCCCAAGGCUUACGCUCUGAAAACUGUACAUUGAUAGAUUAAAAAAGAAAGGAAAUUCUGGGUAAAUUUUCUUCAAGUUGUUCAUACUACCUGUUAUUUUGGAAGCUUUUUCUUCUCUAUCCGUGUUCUUUUUGAUCAUUUGAAGUUUUGAAUUUGGAUCACUACUGUGACUGUGGUGUGCCUUAUCUCUAGUCACUCAGACCUUAUCUUUUUAGUGGGGGUUUCUUUUGGGGCUUCAGGGAAAAAUUGUUGGAUUGAGUUAGUUCUUUUCCAGUUAGGCCAUCAUUUUGACUACACAUAAUUCUUUUCAACUACUGCAAAAUUCAUGUUGAUGUCUCCAUGCAACUUUCUUUUAGAAAUCUAUAGAAUGAGAUCCAUGAGAUAAUACAUGUGCUUUGACCAUGCUUUUUUAAUUGUUGUAUUUAUGAUUUCAUAUACUGCAAGAAGGAUGUUUUUUGUAAAGCUUGUCACUAUCAUUGUGAAAAUUUGGGAGAAAAAUCCAACAUUAAAAGGAUUAGGGCUGCCGCAUAUGGAGAUCUUCCGGCUUCAAGAUGCUGAUGGAUCUAAGACCCUCUUGCUGAAGAAUGGGUGACCUGCUAUCCCUCUGCCGCUAUCGCCGCCUUCAUUGGCUCUUCAUGCAUUGGUGCUCUGAUGACCAUCUAAUACGGUAGGCCGCUGUUCCAUCCGCCUCCAUUGCCUUUGUCUUUUGGCUCUGUCCUGUCGAUUCCAUCCAUCACCAUCACCGUCUUCAUUGCUCUGCCACCCUCGGUGCAUCGAGCAUCCAAAGGACUCUGCGUUGGAAUGUGUUGGUUGGUUCUUCUGGCUUCGGGGCAUGAAUGAGCAUUCGAGAUACGCAUGGUCGUGGUGGUUGGUGGUUCUCCCCUCUAGUGCUAUUGCCGGUGCCUUUUUUGGUGGCUCUUCGGAUGCCAUGGCCUUGUUAAGCCUCGCAGCCUGAUAAAGCUCAAAACACCUGAUGGCCGCAUUGCCAUGGCCAUGUUUAUCCUCUCUUAAAUCUUCACGGCUGAUAAUUUCCAAAAGACCCAAUGGCCACAUUUGCUCAGCACCCUUAUGGUCUUCCAAGAUCGCAUGGCCGCAUCUGCUGGCUGUCAUUCCCUCUGCUUCUGUUGCUGUCUUCUUGAACUUCUACUGGCCGCAAUGACCUGAUGAGCUUCCAAGACCCCAUGGCUGCAUUGACCGGUUGUUUCCUUCUGCUGCCGUUGCUGUCUUUCUGAAUCUUUUCUGGCCAUAGUGACCUGAUGAGCUUUCAAGAUCCCAUGUCCUUGCAUGUUCUGUAGUCCUGAAGACCGAUUCCUGGCAAUUUUUCUCUCUUUCGGUUGGUUGUUUUUUUGUAACAGUCAUAUCAAGGAACUUCUUGGUGUGCGGCCAUGUGAAUAUGUGAUCAUUGAAAUUGUACAGGACUGCUUGUUUCCUGUACAAACAAGCAGUCCUGUACAAACAGUCAUAUCAAGGAACUUCUUGGUGUGCGGCUGAUAAUUUCCAAAAGACCCAAUGGCCAUGUGAAUAUGUUGUUGAUUCGUGAUGUUACGAUGAACAAGCUGGUUAGACCUCAAGUUUGAUAAAGUUGGCAUUUUCAGACGCACACAUGCACGCCUGCGCCUGCGGGGACACACACCCUGGUGAAAAUGUUGAAAGAACUGAAGUGAGUGAAGGCUAAUGCUAGGCAACAUGUUGUGUACAUCAAGUUGAAAAGCCUGAUAAGACAUUCUGUUAAUGGAUUUUUAGGUAUUGUAUUUUCUUAAACUUGUCAACAAAACAGUACAUUUCACUGGCACUGAAGUGGAUCUGUUUGUGUGAGUUGAAAGCAAAAGAGAAACAGGAACAAGAUUACCAUGUCUCUGGAGUCCUUUUGCAAAGUUCAUGUCAGACCACAAAAAUCCCAGAAGGGAGGGCCAUUGCUGUUGCUGUGUUUCUUACAGAUAUCCCAAAAAAGGAAAGUGAAAUUUUACUUUUGAAAUUGUUAUCCAUACCAUUGCCAAACCUUCCUUAUAGUAGUGGUGUUUUUAGGGCUGAUGCUUGAAGAUCGAUGAUUAUAUUCCUCUGCUCUGCAAGAUAAAUUAAUGAUGCAGCGAACUGUUAUCAAGUUUAUGGGUGGUUGUUUCUUUGCUGGUGGCGGAGAUUGAUAACUGUAGUUCUCUGCUCUGCAAAAUAAAUUCAUUUAGCUGUGAGGUGCUAUCAAGUUUGUGGGUGGUUGUUUCUCUGCUGAUGGUUGGAGACUGAUUGUUGCAUUUAUCUGCUCUGCAAAAUAAAUUCAUGAAGAUGUGAAGUGUUAUCAAGUUUAUGGAAGAGACGGAGACGGCUAAAGUUUCAGUGUGUCAUUGUACUUGGAAAUUGGAUUUUGAAUUCAAGGUAUGUAAUCAGAAUAAGACAGGUAGCCUUUCCUGUUUUACUUUGGCAUGGGAUACUAAAGCUUUUAUGAACUGUUUGUGCUUUUCAUGGAUUAGGAGCCUUUCUCAUGGAUACAAUAUUAUUUGCAGAAUGGCCAUACAUUUUUAAGUUUUUUCUUAUUUCUAUGCCUACUUUCGUAGGACUAAA